CAAAUCUCUCAUGUAUGUGAUAGGAAAUUCGUUAUUUGAUCGGGAAUUUGGUUUACCCGAGCAUUACCCUUCUCAAUAACGGCUGACUAGAAGUAAAUCAUCGCAAAAUAUUUUGGAACAACCGAUCAAUCUCGAUUUGAGAGACUUGCUUAGAUGAGAUAGUUAAGCAAGCCGCAAUUUAAACCUCCUAAGGUUUCAGCUCCUGAAACACAAAAUGGCUUCUUUCAUCCAAUCUCCUACUAUUUCAACCAUUAGUAUUACUCAGAUACACUCUAGGAGCCUGAAAUUGUUGAGAUACCCAAAUCUACAGCAUCGCCACACCUUGUACCAUAAAUGCAUUAAACCAUCCCCUCUUUGCUGUACAAAUCUGUCUCCAUGGGAAGCCUCACCCGUCACAUAUGCUGAAAAUAAUGAUACUGGAGGGAAUUUCCUAAAGGAAACUGCCAACAUCUUUGAGACCCUGAGUUCUGAUAAGACAGAUGAAGCUCCUGUAACCACUAUCAAAGAGGUUACAGAUGCAGCUGAUCAGACACGGUCAUCUGUCCAGUUUCAGUACUUUAAAUGGCCUAUGUGGCUUCUGGGCCCGUCCCUUCUCCUUGCCACGGGCAUGGCCCCCACCUUAUGGUUACCCAUAUCUUCGAUUUUCCUUGGACCCAACAUAGCCAGCCUACUUUCCUUGACUGGACUUGACUGCAUAUUUAACCUCGGCGCGUCGCUCUUCCUUCUCAUGGCCGAUUCUUGUGCACGUCCCAAAAACCCAACUGAACCCUGUAGCAGCAAGGCUCCUUUUAGUUAUCAGUUCUGGAACAUGGUUGCAACCAUAACCGGCUUUAUCAUUCCCUUGAUAAUGAUGUUUGGUUCCCAAAAGGGCUUCCUUCAGCCCCAACUCCCCCCUAUUUCGUUUGCUGUUUUAUUGGGUCCAUACCUUCUGCUUCUGUCAGUACAGAUGAUUACAGAGAUGCUUAUAUGGCACUGGCAGUCCUCAGUGUGGCUUGUGACCCCUGUUAUCUACGAAGCAUACCGUGUUUUGCAGCUUAUGAGAGGGCUGAAGCUUGGGGCUGAGCUUAAUGCACCGGCGUGGAUGGUGCACUCCAUUAGAGGACUGGUGUGUUGGUGGGUAUUGAUUCUUGGCAUGCAGCUCAUGAGGGUUGCUUGGUAUGCUGGUUUCACUGCUCGUGCUCGUCAACCACAGUCAUCUGCUGUUGCUGAUGCUAAUUGAUGUCUAUAUGGUGAAGGGUGUGUAAUGGAUGGCGCCUUCAUACACAGGUUUGAAAGUCCACACAAGCAUUUAUUCAAGAAGAAAGAAAAUAUCCAAACAAUGAUGGUUUGUUUGCUUUCACAACAUAUACAAGUAUCCCCACAGCCGAGGCAUGGGACUAAUCCUGAGGGCCCUGAAGUUAACGACCGGACAAACCUCCAGUGGCCCGCACAGUAACCCGUGGGGAGUGGGAUUCGAACUUGGGACCUCCAGGAGGAGCAAACUCCCAGACCCCAGGUUUUCUUCCCUCACCCACUGGGCCACCCUUGCGGGUUAAUAUAGCAUAUGAAUUGCUAGAAUAAGUUUUUCAAAAUAUGAUAUUUUGAUAUUGUAAUAUGUUGAAGUAUCAUAUGAUACUGCCAAAAAUAGCACGAUUUGUUGCAGAUAAUAUAAGUCUGAAUUAUAAUGUA